rnacentral:rRNA from 1 species
AGAGUUUGAUCCUGGCUCAGGACGAACGCUGGCGGCGUGCUUAACACAUGCAAGUCGAGCGGAAAGGCCCUUCGGGGUACUCGAGCGGCGAACGGGUGAGUAACACGUGAGCAACCUGCCCCUGGCUCUGGGAUAGCUCCCGGAAACGGGGAUUAAUACCGGAUAUUCACUUCCUUCGGCAUCGUCGGGGGUGGAAAGUU